UAGAAUGUGGACUGAUUUGCGUGCUGUUGCGUUACAAGGCAACGACAAGGAGAUUGCAACCACAGUAAAAAAGUGCUAAAAACCCUUCG
rnacentral:ncRNA from 2 species